GUAUGGUUCAAUGGUAGAAUGCCUGCCUAGCAAGCAUGAGGCCCUGAGUUCAAUCCCCAGUAC
rnacentral:tRNA from 1 species